UACGUGGGGACCGAGCGUUGUCCGGAAUCAUUGGGCGUAAAGAGCGUGUAGGCGGCCCCUUAAGUCCUGCGUGAAAUCCUGCGGCUCAACCGCAGACGGUCGUGGGAAACUGGAGGGCUAGAGUGCGGGAGAGGAGAGUGGAAUUCCCGGUGUAGCGGUGAAAUGCGCAGAUAUCGGGAAGAACACCCGUGGCGAAGGCGGCUCUCUGGAACGCAACUGACGCUGAGGCGCGAAAGCGUGGGGAGCAAACAGG
rnacentral:rRNA from 1 species